UACGAAGGGGGCUAGCGUUGCUCGGAAUCACUGGGCGUAAAGCGCACGUAGGCGGCUUUUUAAGUCAGGGGUGAAAUCCUGGAGCUCAACUCCAGAACUGCCUUUGAUAUUGAGAGCUUGAGUCCGGGAGAGGUGAGUGGAACUGCGAGUGUAGAGGUGAAAUUCGUAGAUAUUCGCAAGAACACCAGUGGCGAAGGCGGCUCACUGGCCCGGUACUGACGCUGAGGUGCGAAAGCGUGGGGAGCAAACAGG
rnacentral:rRNA from 1 species